AAUCUAAGACUUUACUCUUAGCUCCUUUAUUAAUCACUUUAUCACUUAAGGGAGAAUACAAUUCCUCUUUAAGGUUGGCACAAGAAUAUGCAGAGUCACUACAACAAACAUCUUGCUGGAUAUGUAGCCUGCUCCUCUUGUCCAGUACAUCUAGACUUCCUUGGUUGACUAUCCUACAAAAAUCUGAAAGACUCUAUUAACUUUUUGAGCAACGACAGGAUACUCUAAGAUGAAAAAUCCACACCUGACCUCAGGUAAAGAGUUGAAGUCAAAAUACAGGUGCAUUCUGCAUGACAGUCUUUCAGCCAACAAUGGACUACAUAAAACAAUCGUCCCAUAACAUUAUAAUGGAGCUGAAAAAUGUCUGUCUUCUUGGGAAUUCAUAGCUAAAGAAGCAAAAGAAAACUGCAAAAGAAAAAGAACAACCAAGAGAAUUCACAGUGAAGUUUUUAGAAGUUUGCAGAACCAACCAAGCUCCCUAAAGCUUUGAAAAUACGGACCACUACUUAAAAGUUUUAAUCAACAGAAAAGAAUGUUCACGAUGUAUUAUCAGCUUACAAGCAAAUCUAUGUUGAAAAAAGCAACCAAGCAAGCCACAAUGGACAUCUUUCUGAAAAGAGUGAUAUAUCUUCAACAGCAUCUCACACAGGUCCCUCCUGAGAAAGUCCAGAAGCUAUUGGACAGAACAGGAUGUGACUACUUCAUGCACUUGAUCACCUCUGGAGAUCUUCCAGGGGAAUAAGAUGUAGAUAUAGAAGACAGUAAUACUGAAGACAUUGACUCAGAGUAGGCCUAGGCUAAUGUGUGUGCUCAUAUUUUAUUUUUUAGCAAGUUUUUAACAAUAAAAAAUUUUAAAACAGAAAAAAGAAUUAGAGAAAGUAUCCUUAAAAAAAUUAUUUUUGUACAACCUCAAAAUGUGGUUGCAAAUUAAGCUAAAUGUUACAAGAGUCAAAAAGUUUUUUAAAAGUUUAAAAAAAAACCCAGAAGCACUAAAAAUAUUGUAUAAAAUUACUUCAGGCUCUGUGUGUAAGGUGUAUACGAAACAUAAAUAGAUUUCAUGUUUAAACUUGGGUCUUACCCUCAGUAUCUCACUGUGUAUAUGCAAUAUUCCAAAAUUUGAAAAUGAAUCAAAAUCCAGAGCCCUUCUGGUCCCAAGCAUCUUGAGUGAGGGAUAUCCAGCCUGUAUUUGGUUCAGCUCUUUUGUUCUUUAAGUAAUAAAGCAUUACAUACACUGA